rnacentral:misc_RNA from 1 species
GCAAACUUGGUCAUUUAGAGGAAGUAAAAGUCGUAACAAGGUUUCCGUAGGUGAACCUGCGGAAGGAUCAUCAAAGGGGGGAGGGGUGAGGGGUCUGAGGAGGAAUCUGAGGAGGAAUCUGAGGAUCCCUUGCCCAACCAAUCUUGUGUGAACUGUAGCGAGCAUACGCGUGGGUGUGUUGGUGGGGAGAAGUAUUUCUUGCCCACCGCCAUCACGCUUGCACAACUAUUCUGUUUAUCUUGUCUAACCUGUCGCAAAUAACAACACAACUUUUAACAAUGGAUCUCUUGGCUCUCGCAUCGAUGAAGAACGCAGC